CCUACGGGAGGCGGCAGUGGGGAAUCUUGCGCAAUGGGCGAAAGCCUGACGCAGCAACGCCGCGUGCGGGAUGAAGGCCUUCGGGUUGUAAACCGCUUUCAGCAGGGAAGAAAUUGACGGUACCUGCAGAAGAAGCCCCGGCCAACUACGUGCCAGCAGCCGCGGUAACACGUAGGGGGCGAGCGUUGUCCGGAUUUAUUGGGCGUAAAGAGCUCGUAGGCGGUUCACUAAGUCGGGUGUGAAACCUCCAGGCUCAACCUGGAGACGCCACCUGAUACUGGUGUGACUAGAGUCCGGUAGGGGAGUGUGGAACUCCUGGUGUAGCGGUGAAAUGCGCAGAUAUCAGGAAGAACACCAGCGGCGAAGGCGGCACUCUGGGCCGGUACUGACGCUGAGGAGCGAAAGCGUGGGUAGCAAACAGGAUUAGAUACCCUGGUAGUCCACGCCGUAAACGUUGGGCACUAGGUGUGGGUCUCAACCAACGAGAUCCGUGCCGCAGCUAACGCAUUAAGUGCCCCGCCUGGGGAGUACGGCCGCAAGGCUAAAACUCAAAGGAAUUGACGG
rnacentral:rRNA from 1 species